GACGAACGCUGGCGGCGUGCCUAAUACAUGCAAGUCGAACGAGUGGCGGACGGGUGAGUAAUGUCUGGGAAACUGCCUGAUGGAGGGGGAUAACUACUGGAAACGGGCGCUAAUACCGCCUACUAUCAGAUGAGCCUAGGUCGGAUUUGCUAGUUGGUGGGGUAAAGGCCUACCAAGGCGACGAUCCGUAACUGGUCUGAGAGGGUGAUCGGCCACACUGGGACUGAGACACGGCCCAGACUCCUACGGGAGGCAGCAGUGGGGAAUAUUGCACAAUGGGCGCAAGCCUGAUGCAGCCAUGCCGCGUGUAUGAAGAAGGCCUUCGGGUUGUAAAGUACUUUCAGCGGGGAGGCGUUACCCGCAGAAGAAGCACCGGCUAACUCCGUGCCAGCAGCCGCGGUAAUUC
rnacentral:rRNA from 1 species